GUUUGAACUCUGUUUCCUCCCUGGAAAAUAGCCGAUUCUCUGUCUCCGUCCCAUUUUCAAGGGUUGGGAGCGAGUUAUAUUUGGGCGACGGGUCCCACGCGUAAUAAUCGGAUGCGACGAUUAACCAGGUUCCGUACAGGGCCGGUGUAAGUCCUGGUCUUGAGGUCGGGACGGACUAAUUCUAAGCCGGAUUCGGCCUCGUUGCUGUCGAGUUUUGCGGAAUUUUCCUGUGUAAAAUCGUAUAUUUGUAUAGAUCCAUAAUUGCAAAAUAUGAGGCAUUUAAUUGAGUUUCUUUAUUAACCUUUUCGGCAUCUUCUCUCGAUUUUCUACGCAACCUGAGAAAAGUUGGGAAAGGAUUAAUUUGUCAUAUUGGGAUGAAUGUGAAUAGGACCAGUGCCAAAAAGAGGAGGAACAUGCAGAACACCAUCCAGAUAUCUAUAAAUCCAUUUUAAACAUGUAUAUUAUUGUAAUUGGUUGAUUUUGUAAUGAAGCCUUAAUUUGUUUUUCAUGCAGAUUGAAGAUAACUUUUACAAAAUUGUGAAGGUACAUAUUUAUACAGACCUAUUGCCAUUGUGUAUGAAACCUGAGGUGAUUGUUCCCUGUAAGAAGAGAAUUAUGAAAUGACAAAAUAUUUAUGGAAAACUAUAAAAUUCUUACCGUACUGCACCGAACAUUGCGGUCAACGUGAGUAGCUAGGAUUUAAAAUACCAAUUCGAACUUCCACCAUAUCCGGUGGAAGUAGGAAGCAGAGCCAAGUGAUUAAAAUGAGUAAAAUGGAAGGAAGGCAGGUCUGUACAAAGUGAUAGUUGAUAUUUCUUCUCAUUUGGAGAUUGAAAGACAGGGUGGAAUAAUUUCGGUCUGAAAUGCGUGAAAAUUGUUACGUAAAUUUUGUAAUAUAACUUUGCAAUUCUUACGUUGACAGCAGGGUGCUUGCGACUUUGUAAACAUUUCAUAAAGCCGUCCUCCCGGUUCGACAUCGGAAACUUGGAAAUCAUAAUUGGAAUCUUCUGUCUGGUCGAGAAACACACUUUGAGAUGGAUUCCACAGAACAAAUAGUUGUUCUUGGGUGUAUGAAUCUGUUGAAAUUAGGAGCAAAUGCAUUAAGGCACACUUGAAUGUCUGCCGGAUAAUAUUCAAAAUUCAUAUCGCACCGCACUUUGAACGUUUGUCUCGCCUCGAACGUUAUGGCACCAGGCAUCACCGGAUUUUUAACGAGGAAACGAAGAUUUACCAGCUUGGUGAGGAUGGAUGUGCUUUCGACGGAUUCCAUCUCCUCUGGGAAAGUAAAAUUCAGUUGAAAAAUUUGUGUCGUUGACAAAUCUUAAAUUUGUUUGAGAAACUCUGCGUCGAGCGUGAUCUCUUCAGGUCCAUCAGCCGCCUUUUUCUGAGCUUCUUCAUCUUCAAUAAAAAACUUCCAAACUUCCCAAUCUAUCCAAGUGAUCCCGAGCUCGGUGUCAAGCUCAAU